GUGCCAGCAGCCGCGGUAAUACAGAGGGUGCAAGCGUUGUCCGGAAUCACUGGGCGUAAAGGGCGCGUAGGCGGCCCGAUAAGUCGGAGGUGAAACGCUGCGGCUUAACCGCAGCACUGCCUUCGAGACUGUCAGGCUUGAGCACGGUAGAGGCUGGUGGAAUUCCCGGUGUAGCGGUGGAAUGCGUAGAGAUCGGGAAGAACAUCGGUGGCGAAGGCGGCCAGCUGGGCCGUUGCUGACGCUGAGGCGCGACAGCGUGGGGAGCAAACAGGAUUAGAAACCCUGGUAGUCC
rnacentral:rRNA from 1 species